UGAACCAUUUAAAAUUGCAAACUUUAUUCUAAACCCUCAAUCAAGACAUUAGUGGAGUCUCUAAACUCGUGAAAAAAGAAAAAGGAUACAAAUUUUUGAAGAAAUUUGAGCAAAUGGAACUGAAAACCAACUCGAUUGCCGAUGAUCAACCAAACUCCGACCGGUGGGCUUCACUAGCAUUUACCCUAUACCACAAAAUCAAAACCCAGUCACCCUUAAUUCAAUGCAUAACAAAUUUCGUUUCCAUGGAUUUAAUGGCCAACACUCUGUUAUCAGCCGGUGCAUCACCGGCCAUGAUCCAUUCCAUUGAAGAAAUCCCUGAUUUCACUCCCCAUGUUCAUGCUCUCUGUAUCAAUAUCGGCACUCUUACUCCUAAUUGGCUACCUGCCAUGAAAGCUGCCGCUCAAUUAGCCUCUAAGCUGGGCAAACCCUGGGUUCUUGACCCGGUUGCCGCCGGAGCUUCCGGUUUUAGGUUAAAGUCUUGCCUGGAACUUGUGGGUAUGAAUCCUACUGUUAUUAGAGGAAAUGGGUCUGAGAUUAUUGCCAUAUCAAAGGCUUCUAUUGGCUCUUCAAAGGGUGUAGAUAGCUCCCAUGAGUCGAUGGAUGCCAUAGAAGCAGCAAAGUCUUUGGCUUUAUCGACGGGUGCUAUAGUUGCAGUUUCUGGUGCUGUUGAUAUCGUUACUGAUGGAACCAGAAUUGUUGGCGCUCAUAAUGGGGUAUCGAUGAUGCAGAAAAUCACUGCUACGGGGUGUGCAGUUACUGCACUCAUUGCGGCUUUUGUUGCCGUUGAUCCCUUACAUGCUUUUGAAGCAACGGCUUCAGCGCUGUCUAUUUUUGGUAUAGCUGGUGAAUUGGGAAUGGAUAUGGCUAAAGGUCCAGCUUCCUUGCGGAUGCACUUGAUUGAUUCUCUUCAUGGACUUGAUCAAGCUGCUGUGCUUUCUCGUUUGAAGAUUGCUAACCUGCAAUGAUGCGCAUUGACAUAAUAUGAAGAAGUGGGGUUCGCGGUAUGGUCAAACUUGCAUCCGUCAUGCUACAACAAUUUUGAAAUCUCAGAAUCUUAAUGGUUUAGAUAGACACUCAUCCUCAACAAUGUCACAGCACCAUUUAUAAAACGUUGACCGGGAGGUAUUAGUGAUCGCAUUUCAGCAAAGCCGUUAGCAUUCUUGUAUUUACCGGUCCCGCCAGUCACGGACAGGCGCGAAUAGGUGCCUGCAGUCCUGUACACGCCGUAGAAGUUGAGGCUAUCACCAUAUUCACCUCCUUCGAACAUAGCAGUAAAUGCCAUCAUCUGAGUAGUCCCGUCUGCUGAACUCGCAACAUAGACACCUUGAGCUUUGC